GAGAAGGGAAAAUGAAUUCCUCAAAAGAAAAUAUCUGUUACAUGACCAUAUAUACACUUAACAUUGGGUCGGAUCAGACGGCCCAAUGGCAAAAUAAAAGUGGGCUCAGAUAUAUACAACCCUAAAAAAAAAAUCAUCACAGUCCAAUACAUUGUAUACCAGAAAAGACAAUAAAUAUACAAUGUAUAUACAAUGUGUACAAUCAUCUAUAGUCUAUCAUCUCAACACCCCCCCCCCCUCAAGUUGGAGGGGGAAACCACCUGCAACUUGGAUAACAAUGGAUGAAGCACAGUGCCAGGCAAUGGCUUAGUGAGCAGGUCAGUCAGCUGACGAGAAGUAGGAACAUGAAGCAGCUUUAGAAAACCAUUCUGUAGCAGGUCCCGAACAAAAAAUGGCUUAGUGAGCAGGUCAGCCAGCCGACGAGAAGUAGGAACAUGAAGCAGCUUGAGAAAACCAUUCUAUAGCAGGUCCCGAAUAAAAUGGCAGUCCACCUCGAUGUGUUUUGUACGUUCAUGAAAACAGGAUUGUUAGCUAUAUGGACAGCAGCCUGACUGUCACAAUAUACAGAAAAAGGAGGAGAAACAGAUACCCCAAGAUCAACCAACAAUCGAGAAAGCCAAGUUAACUCAGCAACAACUUCGAUGAGGGCUCUGUAUUCUGCCUCAGCAGAAGACAGAGAAACAACAGGUUGCUUCUUUGAUUUCCAACUAAUCAGGCAACCACCCAAAAGCACACAAAAUCCAGUAACAGAUCGUCUAGUAUCAGGGCAGGACUUCUUUGAUUUCCAACUAAUCCGCAACCACCCAAAAGCAUACAAAAUCCAGUAACAGAUCGUCUAGUAUCAGGGCAGACAGCCCAGUCACUAUCAGAAUAGCCAGCAACAGAGAAAUCAGCAUGGGCAGAAUAGAAUAAAC
rnacentral:lncRNA from 1 species